rnacentral:misc_RNA from 1 species
GAACCACUUCAACUUCCUCUUUUGCCUCGAACUCUAUUGAUAAAUUUCGGAGAUUGAUCAAUUUCCGGACUGCAUCGGUUUUAAUUAGAUGCUCUGCUUGUACACACUUCAAAGUCUCCAGGUGUCUUAAUUUUUCCAAUCUAGCCUGCCUUAAAGAAUAACUAUACCCUAAUAGAUGUCUCAAGCAUUCUAAUUUUGAUAAUGCAGCGGGUAAUAUAAUCAUGUAAUUAUUGCGUAAAUCAAGAGUAUAUAAACUCCGCAGAUUACCU